rnacentral:rRNA from 1 species
AUUGAACGCUGGCGGCAUGCCUUACACAUGCAAGUCGAACGGCAGCACGGGUGCUUGCACCUGGUGGCGAGUGGCGAACGGGUGAGUAAUACAUCGGAACGUACCUUAUCGUGGGGGAUAACGCAGCGAAAGCUGUGCUAAUACCGCAUACGCCCUGAGGGGGAAAGCGGGGGAUCGAAAGACCUCGCGCGAUUAGAGCGGCCGAUGCCUGAUUAGCUUGUUGGUGGGGUAAAAGCCCACCAAGGCGACGAUCAGUAGCUGGUCUGAGAGGACGAUCAGCCACACUGGGACUGAGACACGGCCCAGACUCCUACGGGAGGCAGCAGUGGGGAAUUUUGGACAAUGGGGGGCAACCCUGAUCCAGCAAUGCCGCGUGAGUGAAGAAGGCC